UACGGAGGGUCCAAGCGUUAUCCGGAAUCAUUGGGUUUAAAGGGUCCGUAGGCGGUUUUGUAAGUCAGUGGUGAAAGCCCAUCGCUCAACGGUGGAACGGCCAUUGAUACUGCAAGACUUGGAUUAUUGGGAAGUAACUAGAAUAUGUAGUGUAGCGGUGAAAUGCUUAGAGAUUACAUGGAAUACCAAUUGCGAAGGCAGGUUACUAUCAAUAUAUUGACGCUGAUGGACGAAAGCGUGGGGAGCGAACAGG
rnacentral:rRNA from 1 species